AAGCCUCAUAAUAGCUGAAAAUCAGCACAGAUUGAAAUUUGAUAUACACAGGGAAAUAAAAAAUACAGUGUAUCAAAAGAAACCAAGCAUAAAUCGAUUGAUAGAGCGAAGUAAGUUGAAAUUGGAAUGAAAUUGAUGUUUGAACACAAUCGAUUUAACAAUAGUCUGAACACAGAGAAAAAACAUAGAUCUGAGGAAUUCUUACCGUGAAAGAGACGUUGCGGUGAUUGCGAUUGUAUGAAAUGAAGAAAUCUUCCGCUGCAAUAAGCGAUUUGGAAGACGAGAAACACAAACAGUUACGUUCAUAACCGAUGAAAUUGAAUUGAAAUUGAUGUUUGAACACAAUCGAUUUAACAAUAGUUUGAACACAGAGAUCUAUCUAAACAAAGAUAUGAGGAAUUCUUAUCGUGAAAGAGACGUUGCGGUGAUUGCGAACAUGAGAAAUGAAGAAAUCUUCCGCUGCAAUAAGCAGAUUUGGAAGAGCAGAAACACAAAGAGUUCUGUUCUUCUCCGAAAACGGUUAGAGGUCGCAGAUAGUAUAGCAUCCUUCGUCGUGUUCAUUGUCUCCUUCUCAGUUUGGUUUUUUUCUCUUUCAGUAAACUACUAAGCGUAUGUUUGGAUACGCGUUUCUGCACAUCAAACGCGCGUUUCAGCCCCUCAAACGCAAUUUUUCACUUUUGCAUGAUGUUUGGUAACAGAAUGGAAAAUCGAUUUCACUCCUCAGAUUCGAUUCU
rnacentral:lncRNA from 1 species